AUUGCCUCAGUAACGGCGAGUGAAGCGGCAACAGCUCAAAUUUGAAAUCUGGCCCCCGGCCCGAGUUGUAAUUUGCAGAGGAUGCUUUUGGCGAGGUGCCUUCCGAGUUCCCUGGAACGGGACGCCAUAGAGGGUGAGAGCCCCGUCUGGUCGGACACCGAGCCUCUGUAAAGCUCCUUCGACGAGUCGAGUAGUUUGGGAAUGCUGCUCUAAAUGGGAGGUAUAUGUCUUCUAAAGCUAAAUACCGGCCAGAGACCGAUAGCGCACAAGUAGAGUGAUCGAAAGAUGAAAAGCACUUUGAAAAGAGAGUUAAAUAGCACGUGAAAUUGUUGAAAGGGAAGCGUUUAUGACCAGACUUGGCCCGGUUGAUCAUCCAGCGUUCUCGCUGGUGCACUCUGCCGGUCCAGGCCAGCAUCAGUUCGCUCCGGGGGACAAAGGUUUCGGGAAUGUGGCUCCUCCGGGAGUGUUAUAGCCCGUUGCGUAAUACCCUGGGGUGGACUGAGGUCCGCGCAUUGCAAGGAUGCUGGCGUAAUGGUCAUCAACGACCCGUCUUGAAACACGGACCAAGGAGUCGUCUUCGUAUGCGAGUGUUCGGGUGCAAAACCCCUACGCGUAAUGAAAGUGAACGCAGGUGAGAGCUUCGGCGCAUCAUCGACCGAUCCUGAUGUUCUCGGAUGGAUUUGAGUAAGAGCAUACGGGGCCGGACCCGAAAGAAGGUGAACUAUGCCUGUAUAGGGUGAAGCCAGAGGAAACUCUGGUGGAGGCUCGCAGCGGUUCUGACGUGCAAAUCGAUCGUCAAAUAUGGGCAUGGGGGCGAAAGACUAAU
rnacentral:rRNA from 1 species